rnacentral:rRNA from 1 species
GACGAACGCUGGCGGCGUGCUUAACACAUGCAAGUCGAACGGUAAGGCCCUUCGGGGUACACGAGUGGCGAACGGGUGAGUAACACGUGGGUGAUCUGCCCUGCACUUCGGGAUAAGCCUGGGAAACUGGGUCUAAUACCGGAUAGGACUCCGGACUGCAUGGUCUGGGGUGGAAAGCUUUUGCGGUGUGGGAUGGGCCCGCGGCCUAUCAGCUUGUUGGCGGGGUGAUGGCCUACCAAGGCGACGACGGGUAGCCGGCCUGAGAGGGUGACCGGCCACACUGGGACUGAGAUACGGCCCAGACUCCUACGGGAGGCAGCAGUGGGGAAUAUUGCACAACGGGCGCAAACCUGAUGCAGCGACGCCGCGUGAGGGAUGACGGCCUUCGGGUUGUAAACCUCUUUCAGCAUCGACGAAGCGAAAGUGACGGUAGGUGCAGAAGAAGGACCGGCCAACUACGUGCCAGCAGCCGCGGUAA